GCUAAAAUAACAAUAAUCUCCAAUACCAACGAUUUACAUUGUAAUUAUACUGGCACAUUUUAGUGAACAUGAAAUGCCAAAAAAAAAAAAAAAACUAGCAAAUGUAUAAGCAAUAAACUCGAAAGAUGAACAUUACAAAAGAAACAUGUUUACAAACGCCCAGAAUAAAAAUCAAGCCUCACAACAUCUAAAGAACAGCAUAAACAAAAUGCAAUUCUUGGAACUUUAUUUUUUAAACAAAAGAAAAUGAACAUAAUUGUAUCAACACAACGAUGAAUUUGAGGAAGAAAAAGAAGGCACAAUUAAUGUCGAGAUCUCACGGCAAGGACUAGUUUGAUGGAGGUGGUGAGAAGAAAGGGAUUGAAGGAAUGGAUAUAGGAAUAUUUGGAAUGGUUGGCAAUGAACCAGCUGAAGGCAAUGGUGGCAUGGUCACUUGGGGAACUGAAGGCAUGGUGGGCAAAGGUGGAAGCUGAUUGCUUGGCAAAUUUGGCAACGACCCUGCAGGCAAAUUUGGAAUCGAAGGUAAUGUUGGUAUUGCAGGAAUUGCUGGUUGAGAAGUUUGAAGAAGCUGCCGAGCCGCCUCGCCACCAUGAAUGCUUGAAAAAGAUAAGGCCAUUAUCAAAGAUAGAACAAAGCAAAAUUUAGAACCAGUAGCCAUUGAUGUAUUGAUUGAGGCUCAGAGAUGAAGAUUUUACUAGGUUUCCAACAAUGGUUAGGAAAUUCUUCUUUGAUGUUGUGAGUUGAAUCGUGAAUGAGAGAUAUGAUUCUAGUAUCGAUAUUUAUAGGGAAUACGUGAAAAAAUUUAGGAAGUUUGAUCAAAUGUAGUUGGGCAAUUAGCAAGAAAGAAAUACUAGUUAGUUGGAUUUCUUGGUAAACUACACAUUUGUUAAAC
rnacentral:lncRNA from 1 species